CUAAAGGAUCCCCCAAGGCCAGUCCCCCAGCCCUAAGCUGACAAGCCCCCAGAGCAGCUGCCAUGGCUUGGAGCACGAUGGCCCACUGCUGCCCUGACUCAGGUUCUAAGUAAGGGCCUACGGGGACCCCCCCUUUGUUUACAGAUGGGCCUCAGGCCCAGGCAGGUCUGGAGUGGUCCCCAAGAUCCAGCAUUUCCAACACGCUCCCAGGUGACAUCGAUGCUGCAGCUGGUCUUCCGACCACACCUGGAGUAGCAAGAUUCUACAGCAGCACCACCAAGAGAAAUACAAGCCACCUAUCACAUCUCCAUCUGGACAAGCCACAUUUCAAGUGCUCAGUAGCCACAUGUGGCUAGUGGCUACCAUAUUGGACAGCAGAGCUCCAGAAGAUGGGAGGAAAGAGAAAACAGAUGCGGGGAGAGAAGGAUCAAGAACAAGUCAUUGGGGUGAACAUUUGGGACAAUGCAGGAAGAACACAGAGCUGCCAUCAAGAUAAGUGAGUUCUAGACCGAGCCCUGCUUCUACUCAGUGUGUGACCUGAAAGGAGUCAGGCAGACUCCAAUGCCAGCUGCCCCUCACUGUCACCUCCACGGUCCUUUGAGCCGCAUGUGUCUAGGGGGAGAAAAGUACCAGCAGGAUGACCUCUACUCAUCCUUCAGAGCUCAACCUAGACAUCACUUCCUCCAGGAAGCCUUCCCCAACUGGGUCAGGCGCCUCUCCUCUGAGCUCCCCCAGCACCCCAUACUGCCGCCUUUCCUGGAUUUACCAGCCCUGCAAGCUGGGAGGUGACUUGGCAUCU
rnacentral:lncRNA from 1 species